CACAAGCGGUGGAUGAUGUGGAUUAACUCGAUGCAACGCGAAAACCUUACCUACCUUGACAUGUCCGGAAUCCCGAAGAGAUUUGGGAGUGCUCGCAAGAGAGCCGGAACACAGGUGCUGCAUGGCUGUCGUCAGCUCGUGUCGUGAGAUGUUGGGUUAAGUCCCGCAACGAGCGCAACCCUUGUCAUUAGUUGCUACAUUUAGUUGGGCACUCUAAUGAGACUGCCGGUGACAAACCGGAGGAAGGUGGGGAUGACGUCAAGUCCUCAUGGCCCUUAUAGGUAGGGCUACACACGUCAUACAAUGGAUGGUACAAAGGGUCGCCAACCCGCGAGGGGGAGCCAAUCCCAUAAAACCAUUCGUAGUCCGGAUCGCAGUCUGCAACUCGAGAACAUGAAGCUGGAAUCACUAGUAAUCGCAGAUCAGCUAUGCUGCGGUGAAUACGUUCCCGGGUCUU
rnacentral:rRNA from 1 species